GACGAACGCUGGCGGCGUGCCUAAUACAUGCAAGUCGAGCGGGGUUAUKUAGAAGCUUGCUUYUACAYAACCUAGCGGCGGACGGGUGAGUAACACGUAGGCAACCUGCCCACAAGACAGGGAUAACUACCGGAAACGGUAGCUAAUACCCGAUAYAUCCUUUUCCUGCAUGGGAGAAGGAGGAAAGACGGAGCAAUCUGUCACUUGUGGAUGGGCCUGCGGCGCAUUAGCUAGUUGGUGGGGUAAAGGCCUACCAAGGCGACGAUGCGUAGCCGACCUGAGAGGGUGAUCGGCCACACUGGGACUGAGACACGGCCCAGACUCCUACGGGAGGCAGCAGUAGGGAAUCUUCCGCAAUGGGCGAAAGCCUGACGGAGCAACGCCGCGUGAGUGAUGAAGGUUUUCGGAUCGUAAAGCUCUGUUGCCAGGGAAGAACGUCUUGUAGAGUAACUGCUACAAGAGU
rnacentral:rRNA from 1 species